rnacentral:rRNA from 1 species
UGGGGAAUAUUGCACAAUGGGCGCAAGCCUGAUGCAGCCAUGCCGCGUGUGUGAAGAAGGCCUUCGGGUUGUAAAGCACUUUCAGCGGGGAGGAAGGCGUUAAGGUUAAUAACCUUGGCGAUUGACGUUACCCGCAGAAGAAGCACCGGCUAACUCCGUGCCAGCAGCCGCGGUAAUACGGAGGGUGCAAGCGUUAUUCGGAAUUACUGGGCGUAAAGCGCACGCAGGCGGUCUGUCAAGUCGGAUGUGAAAUCCCCGGGCUCAACCUGGGAACUGCAUUCGAAACUGGCAGGCUAGAGUCUUGUAGAGGGGGGUAGAAUUCCAGGUGUAGCGGUGAAAUGCGUAGAGAUCUGGAGGAAUACCGGUGGCGAAGGCGGCCCCCUGGACAAAGACUGACGCUCAGGUGCGAAAGCGUGGGGAGCAAACAGG